GACGAACGCUGGCGGCGUGCCUAAUACAUGCAAGUCGAGCGAAGCGGCGGGUGGGUGAGUAACGCGUGGGUAACCUGCUCCUAAGUCGGGGAUAACAUUUGGAAACAGAUGCUGAUACCGGAUAUUAAAGGAGGGAUCUGCGAUGCCUUAGCUAGUUGGUAAGGUAACGGCUUACCAAGGCGAUGAUGCAUAGCCGGUCUGAGAGACUGAUCGGCCACAUUGGAACUGAGACACGGCCCAGACUCCUACGGGAGGCAGCAGUAGGGAAUCUUGCACAAUGGACGAAAGCCUGAUGGAGCCACGCCGCGUGAGUGAAGAAGGUUUUCGGAUCGUAAAGCUCUGUAGUUGGGGAAGCGUUACUCAACCAGAAAGUCACGGCUAACUACGUGCCAGCAGCCGCGGUAAUUC
rnacentral:rRNA from 1 species